UAUAUUUAGACUUAUCUAAUAAAGUUGUGUUUAAUAUAGAAGAGAAAAAUAAUUUUAAGGUUAAAAAUUAAGUAUUGUUUAUAAAAAUUUAUUAAAAGAUAAUAGAGCAAAGUAUUGUGAAAGAAGGUUUAGGGGUUAUAAGUGAUGUGAUAGUAGAUAUUAAAGUUUGUACCUUGUGUAUCAGGGAUGAUCAAAAUUAAUUAAGUAUUUUAAAUAUCUCGAAAGAGAAACAGCUAGGUUAGUAUUUAAGUUCUCGUAUUAAAGAGAUUUAGAAUACUAUACUAAAGAUGAAAUGUCAGCCGAGUUCUUUAUAUCUAGUUCCUUGAGAUAAAAUUAAAUUUUGUUCUUAUUUUUAGGGAAAUAAGAGUUAAGAGUAGGAGGGUAGAGCUUCUUGUUCUAAUAAAGGGUAGGUUAUGAAUUAAUAAGGUUAAAAGUUUAUACUAGGCUUAAGAGUAGCCAUGUUUCUAAAGUGUUUAAACUAAUAAUAAUGGAUUAUAUAAUUUAAAUUAAUUCUAAUAAAAUAUCAAGGUAUUAUUUGAAUUUAGAUAAAAUAAGAGAAAAUGGUUGUAUUAGUAUAAUUUAUUGUGGUUUACAUAGGGUAAAAUAUUUAAUAAAUAUAAAGUAUUUAAGGUGUUAUAAAGGAACUCGGCAAAUAUAUUUCUUGCCUGUUUAUCAAAAACAUGUCCGUUUGAAGUUUUAAAAGGUCUAGCCUGCCCACUGAUAGUAAAUUAAAGGGCCGCGGUAUUCUGACCGUGCAAAGGUAGCAUAUCAUUAGUCUCUUAAUUGGAGGCUUGUAUGAAUGGUUGGACAAGGGAAUGACUGUCUCUAUAACAAGUUUGGAAUUUAACUUUUAAGUGAAAAGGCUUAAAUAAUUUAAGGGGACGAUAAGACCCUAUAAAGCUUUAUACUGAAAUUAAUUUAAGUUAAUUUAUAAUUUAUAAAGGUGUUAAUUAAAUAAGUAUUAAGUUGGGGCGACUAUAGUAUAAAUGUAUAUAACUGCUUAGUUUUACUACAUUAAUAUAUGAAUCAAAAUUAAAUGAUCCUCUUUAGGGAUUACAAGAUUAAGUUACUUUAGGGAUAACAGCGUUAUUCUUUUUGAGAGUUCUUAUCGAAAAAAGAGUUUGCGACCUCGAUGUUGAAUUAAAGUUUCUAUAUAGUGCAGCAGCUAUAAUAGAAGGUCUGUUCGACCUUUAAAUUUUUACGUGAUCUGAGUUCAGACCGGUGAGCCAGGUUGGUUUCUAUCUCUUAAAUAAAAAUAUACUGUUUUAGUACGAAAGGAUUAAAUAGUAGAAAUAAUUUUUUAUAAUGAAUGUUUAUAAUAAA
rnacentral:rRNA from 1 species